rnacentral:misc_RNA from 1 species
AGUCGUAACAAGGUUUCCGUAGGUGAACCUGCGGAAGGAUCAUUAACACGUAUCCACGUAUCCACCCACCGCGCAUCUGUUUUCAAUUCGCCCUUGAGGGUACAUGAAUUGGCUACCGUUGAGGAGAGUAAUGGAAUGGGACUCGUUUGCGAGUCAGCUCUCCACGACCUACUGGAGUUCGCUCCGACAAUUGCAGUACUCUGAAGGCAAACCUCCUCCGUUCACCUCUCCAUUCAUGAGACUGAGCGGCAGGAUACUAUUCUAUCAUACACCUAUUCCACACCUUUUGCUAGUUGACUUUUUAACUGUUGCCACCUCGCUUCGGCGUUGGGUUGCACACGUUUAUUACUUAAACGUUUAAAUACAACUCUUAGCAAUGGAUAUCUAGGUUCUC